GCGACACUAGCUCAGUUGGUAGAGCGCAACCUUGCCAAGGUUGAGGUCUCGAGUUCGAACCUCGUGUGUCGCUCCA
rnacentral:tRNA from 2 species